GUUCCCAGGGUGCAUUCACAUUUUAUCCAUCUGCUUCCCCAUAACAGACACACUGACACAUGACCCAAUCCAGUCCUGUUUCGAAUAAGACAACUUGAGUUGGAUUUCCAUCACAUCCAGCUGAAAAGCAUACUGAGUAAUACAGUGAGUGGACACUGGUCACAGAUUCAGGACCCACUCUAAUCCAGGAUGAUGACAUCUUGAGAUCCUUACCAGCAAAGACCCUCCUAUCAGUACUGGGGUUAGGACUGGGACAGAUCUUUGGCGGAGGGGACACUAGUCAACUCCCUAUAAGGGCAUCAACAAUAUCCCCACCAGUCUUGGCCUCAGGAGAGCAAGCCUAAGCCUCAGUGGUUUAAUUGAUAAGGAAAGACCACCUACUCCCAACUGAAGUCCCUAAAACAUAGAUAGCUCUGCUUUAGGGUUGGCCUGAUUUCCAGCACUUCCAUCCAGCACCUGAAGGGGAAGUUUCUGGAAGCAAAUGGUCCAGAAACAGGUUUUUCUCCAACACAGCAAAGCAGCCCAAACCUUAAUCAUCCUCUCAAUUUUUGCAAUGAUGUCCAUGUCCACAAGUCAUUUAAUUAAUGUUUUACCACUCAUCUAGUGCUACUACUUUCACUUGGAUUUAUUUUUUUUUUAAUUCAGCCUCAUCCAAAGCAAUAAU